UACGUAGGGUGCGAGCGUUGUUCGGAAUUACUGGGCGUAAAGGGCUCGUAGGUGGCCAACUAAGUCAUACGUGAAAUCCCUCGGCUUAACCGGGGAACUGCGCCUGAUACUGGUUGGCUUGAGUUUGGGAGAGGGACGCGGAAUUCCAGGUGUAGCGGUGAAAUGCGUAGAUAUCUGGAGGAACACCGGUGGCGAAGGCGGCGUCCUGGACCAAUACUGACACUGAGGAGCGAAAGCCAGGGGAGCAAACGGG
rnacentral:rRNA from 1 species